UACAGAGGUCUCAAGCGUUGUUCGGAUUCAUUGGGCGUAAAGGGUGCGUAGGUGGCGCGCUAAGUCAGGUGUGAAAUCUCGGGGCUUAACUCCGAAACUGCAUUUGAUACUGGCGUGCUUGAGGACUGGAGAGGAGACUGGAAUUCAUGGUGUAGCAGUGAAAUGCGUAGAGAUCAUGAGGAAGACCAGUGGCGAAGGCGGGUCUCUGGACAGUUCCUGACACUGAGGCACGAAAGCCGGGGGAGCAAACAGG
rnacentral:rRNA from 1 species